rnacentral:rRNA from 1 species
AGAAGGAAUUACCCCAUCUACACCUGCGCUACGUGAACAUCUAACCGUGAGUGAUGUCACGAACUGCUUCGCGGAAUUUUGAAUCCAGGAGCUCGUGGUUUACGCGGGCCGAUUGCUUUUAUUGCAAUCGCAGCCGAGUGGAUCGCGCCUGGUUGCUAUGGCCCCUUGAGGGCCCCGCUGAUUAUCACCUUACUUAGCGAUCAGCAAAAGCUCUUGGGCGCAAGCCUCAACACAACUUUCAGCGACGGAUAUCUUGCCUCGGGCACCAAUGAAGGGCGCAGCGAAACGCGAUAGUGUUGUGAAUUGCAGAACUCCGUGAACCAAUAGCACCCUGAACUCGCAUUGCACUCUUGGGACACGCCUGAGAGUAUGUCUGCUUCAGUGCUUUUUCAUAUCUUCGCAGCGCGGACUUCCUGGAGAAGCCUUGAGCCUCUUUGCGCGCUGCUGCUUCCUAAUUUGCAGCGGCGCGCUGAACACGAACCUUGAGGUAAGCUGGACUGAUUUGUCCCACAUCACAGGACACGUGUGUCCUUUUUGAAACAAUCAUGCCAGCCUGCCAAGCAAUUGGUGCUCAAAUACCAAUCUUAGAAUGAAGUAACAUUAUCACAUCCGCUGAAUUAUGCCAGAUUUGUAUUCGGAGGAUUGGACACUAUCUCGGAUCUCCAAUCAGGCAAGAAUACCCCGCUGAAUUUAAGCAUAUUAUUAGGCGGAGGAAAAGAAACUAACAA